AUCUCUUGUAAAUUCCAUCAUAGCCCAAAAGAUAAUGAGUUCAUGUCUCUUGCAUGUGAUAGUCUGGACAGUAUAAAAAGUCUGAAGGCAGGAGUAAAGAGAAACAGUAAUAGGUUUAAAAAUGCCCAGUUGAUAAUGGCAGUAGUGUUUUAAUAGCUGUAGUGGUGGUGGUGUCAGUAUCAAAGAUUAUGGUUAACAUUUAUUGUAGCUGUGCUACUGCCACUCACUAUUCUUAGAGCCUUACAUAGACUAUCUCAUUUAAUCCUCACAUAAAGUCUGUGAAGUAGGUACUAUUUUUACUUCUUUUUUUAUAGAUGUGGAGAUUAGGCUCAUGGAGGUAUAAUAACUCGUCCACGA
rnacentral:lncRNA from 10 species